rnacentral:rRNA from 1 species
UGCCCAAAAGAGGGGGAUAACACUUGGAAACAGGUGCUAAUACCGCAUAACCAUAGUUACCGCAUGGUAACUAUGUAAAAGGUGGCCAUGCUACCGCUUUUGGAUGGGCCCGCGGCGCAUUAGCUAGUUGGUGGGGUAAAGGCUUACCAAGGCAAUGAUGCGUAGCCGAACUGAGAGGUUGAUCGGCCACAUUGGGACUGAGACACGGCCCAAACUCCUACGGGAGGCAGCAGUAGGGAAUCUUCCACAAUGGGCGAAAGCCUGAUGGAGCAACGCCGCGUGGGUGAAGAAGGUCUUCGGAUCGUAAAACCCUGUUGUUAGAGAAGAAAGUGCGUGAGAGUAACUGUUCACGUUUCGACGGUAUCUAACCAGAAAGCCACGGCUAACUACGUGCCAGCAGCCGCGGUAAUACGUAGGUGGCAAGCGUUAUCCGGAUUUAUUGGGCGUAAAGGGAACGCAGGCGGUCUUUUAAGUCUGAUGUGAAAGCCUUCGGCUUAACCGGAGUAGUGCAUUGGAAACUGGGAGACUUGAGUGCAGAAGAGGAGAGUGGAACUCCAUGUGUAGCGGUGAAAUGCGUAGAUAUAUGGAAGAACACCAGUGGCGAAAGCGGCUCUCUGGUCUGUAACUGACGCUGAGGUUCGAAAGCGUGGGUAGCAAACAGGAUUAGAUACCCUGGUAGUCCACGCCGUAAACGAUGAAAGCGAAGUGUUGGA